rnacentral:rRNA from 1 species
AUGACAUUGGUUCUCAGAUUCGUUGAUGAAGAUCGUAUACUGCAAGAGCGGUUCUUUGCCUUGAUACAUGUGACGAACACCAAAGCCGCAACACUUAAAUUGGUAUUAAGUUCUGUGUUAUUGAAACAUGCUUUUGAUGUUCAGAACCUUCGUCGGUAGGGGUGUGACGGGGCUAGUAAUAUGAGGGGAGAUCAAUGGCUUGCAAGCUCUUUUCUCAGAGAGUGCCCGUAUGCGUAUUAUGUCCACUGUUGUGCUCAUCGUUAGCAACUUGCGCUUGUGGCUGCAUCGAAGGAAGUGGUCUACGUUGCUAAAUUCUUUCAGAAACUUCUUUUGAUUGUAAACAUCGUUGACUCCUCCGCAAAGCACCAUGAUGAUGACACUGAAACUCGUAAUGGGGAAAAUCAAAUCUGCACAUUAAAACAACCUGCAGACACUAAAUGGGGGUCUCACUUAGGUUAUAUAUCCAAACUAAAGAAAAUUAAUGCAGUAAAUUCAAUUCUUCAAAAUAUAGCAUUUGAUGGGUCAGCUGGCUUAGUUCUUGCAGAUGGAGACACUGCUUUCAGCUAUUUGUCCUCUUUUGAGUUCAGAUUUGUCAUAUGUCUGAUAGAAGAAAUACUGGAGAUAACCGAAAAUCUUGCUCAAGCUUGCAAAGGAAAUCACAUGACAUAUGCCAUGCGUCUAGAGUUCACAACAAAGGACCAUCUUGAUGAAAUGAGAUCAGAUGGUGGUUGGGAAGCCUUUUUUGAUAUGGUUGUUGGGUUCCUUGUAAAUCAUUCCAUUGAUAUUCCAGAUCUGGGAGAAACUUACAAUAUGUGUGGUGGUCGUGCUCGUCGCCAACCAGAUCGUUUUACUAAGGAGCAUUAUUUUCGGGUGGAAGUAUUUCGUGGAGCACUUGAUACUCAGCUACAUGCAUUAGAAUUCAGAUUUAAUGACAAAGUGUUGGAUCUUUUGACCACUAGUGCUACCCUGAUCCCCAAAAUAAAUUUAGAUAUUUCGAAGCUGGUGAUAUUUGCGAGGUAG